rnacentral:rRNA from 1 species
UACGUAGGUGGCAAGCGUUGUCCGGAUUUAUUGGGUUUAAAGGGUGCGUAGGCGGUCUUAUAAGUCAGUGCUGAAAUAUCCCGGCUUAACCGGGAGGGUGGCAUUGAUACUGUAGGACUUGAGUGAAGUCGAGGUAGGCGGAAUUGACGGUGUAGCGGUGAAAUGCUUAGAUAUCGUCAAGAACACCAAUAGUGAAGACAGUUUACUAGACUUCAACUGACGCUGAGGCACGAAAGCGUGGGGAGCGAUCCGG